ACACACAGCUUACUGCCGAGGAGAAAGAAGCGUUACUAAUCCAGAGUGGAGGACUGGCCUGGGAAAUCGGGCAGAGAGAGGAGUUGUCGGAAAGAACACACCAGAAGCCCCUCCGAGCCCAGACACUGAUAGAAACCCAGCCGCUUCCCAAGCCAAUCUGCAAACCCAGGAGGCACCCACGAGUGCACAGACACACCCCCGGGGUGCAGGCGCGGUGAAGGGAGGAGAGGGGCAAGAGCUUGACCGUUAGGGCCCGAACCCCAGAACUCCCGAGGCAGGGUGUGUGCCGCGCGCGGGAAACGCCGUUCUCCGCUCCAGGCGUCGGCGGGCGGUGGCGAGAGCAGAUUUUAUAGGUUCAGAAAGUGUGUCUCAGAGGAGUUAGAGAAGACCGAUUAAUAGAUGACAGUGCUAAAGCCUGGAUCUCCUGAAUCCUGGAUGAAAGUGUCCUAAGUUAGAUUCCUGGGAAGAAAAUUCUGAGACACAUUCUGCAGGAUGAUUAUUAGGGCUCAUCCUUGGUUUCAACACCCAUAGAAGGAAGGGGGAAGAAGAAAUCGAACAGAGAGACAGAAGUCGAGAUGCAUUUCAGGCCAGGACUCUUGGCUGAACCCACAGGAGCUCUGGAGCUAGAAUGGCCCUUCAGAGUUGUCCUGAGUUGGUCUGAGAUGGCCAGUUCUUUAUAUUCCUGCAUGGGAUAGUCACUGGAUGUCCACCCCAGGAAGGGGUGUGGCCAAGACAGUCCCUAAAAUGCCCGCCAGCACUCCCUACACCUGGAGCGACAAGACCAACAUCACAGGGGGAAUGCACUGGGUGAUGGAUCACAGCGUUCAUCCCAGAAGAUGAGGAUACAGAAUUGGCUGACAACUACGUUCUAAAUGUCAGUGUUCUCCAAAAUUCAUAUGUUGAAACUUAAUUCCCAAUGUGAUGGCAUUAGGAAGUGGGGCCUUUGGGGGAGGGACUAUAGGUCAUGAGGGUGUAACCCUCAUCAAUGGGAUUAGUGUCCAGAGAGCUGCCUUGCCCUUCCACCAUGUGAGGACAUAGUGAGAAGGUGCCAUCUAUGAACUAGGAAGUGGGCGCUUACCACCAGACACCCACUCUUCUGGCAACUUGAUCUUGAAUUUCCCAGCCUCCAGAACUCUGAGAAAUCAAUUUCUGUUAAUUAUAAGCUACCCAGUCGAUAGCAUUUUGUUAAAGCUGCUGGAACUAAACUAAGACACUGACGCUUUCUGCGACAAAAAGAUAGAGUGAGUCUCUAUAGCAUACCAUGUAACAGAUGUUUUUGGAAAAAUAACCUCAUUUCAUAUGUUUCCUCAAGAUAAAAAGAAUGUCAUAACAACAAAUGAGAAAAUAGUUGCUUUAGAAAUAUUGCACCCUAUGGAGAGAGUAUUUUGGAUUUUGGUUUUUUGUUUUGUUUUUUAACUUUUGUUUUAGGUUUGGGGGUACAUAUGCAGGUUUGUUAUAUAGGUAAACUCAUGUCACAGGGGUUUGUUGUACAGAUAAUUUCCUCACCCAGGUACUAAGCCUAGUACCCAAUAGUUGCUUUUUCUCCUCCUCUCUCUCCUCCCACCCUCCACCCUCAAAUAGGCCCCAGUGUAUGUUGUUCUCUUCAUUAUGUUCAUGAAGUUGAGAGAGUGUUUUGAAAAAGAAUGUUGGAAAGCAUUUCCACUGUUAGAUGAUUUUAAGUCAAAAAGUUAUACAACAGUGUGACCUAUUUGCACACAAGCAUGGACACAGAAUUGUGUCAUAUGUUUAAAACUUUUCUAGAUCCUUUUGUGGUUCAUAAGCUUGAUGAUUGAGUUUUCGCGUCCACAUGUGAGAUGUGCCUCCCUUGAGCCUUGUCAUUGGCACAUUACCUGCCUGAUGUGAACAAUAAAAAUAAAAAAUAAAAAUUUGCUAA
rnacentral:lncRNA from 1 species